rnacentral:ncRNA from 1 species
GCAGAGUAGGUGCCGAUGCGUUAAGUGUCCGCCGGACAGGGAGUUGCCGGGGGAACGAAAGCUUAAAAGCUUGCGGUAUCGGUUUCCGCAUCCCGCUGC